ACGAACGCUGGCGGCGUGCCUAAUACAUGCAAGUCGAACGGUUUAGUUGUCUGUCAUCAGACGUCAGACGAAGGGGCAAAAGCACUGAAUCCGAGUUAGAAGCGAGGGGAAAGUGUGGAAGUCCUAACGACUGCUGCCUGAUGACCGACGACUGAAUAGUGGCGGACGGGUGAGUAAACACGUGAGCAACCUACCCUCGUACAGGAGGACAACAGUUGGAACGGCUGCUAAUACUCCAUAAAACCAAGCCGGCACAUGCCGGGAUGGUCAAAGGUGCAAACCGGUACAAGAUGGGCUCGCGUCCCAUUAGCUAGUUGGCGGGAUAACAGCCCACAAGGCGACGAUGGGUAGCCG
rnacentral:rRNA from 1 species